rnacentral:misc_RNA from 1 species
AACUUUCUACAAUGGAUCUCUUGGUUCUCGCAUCGAUGAAGAACGCAGCGAAAUGCGAUAAGUAAUGUGAAUUGCAGAAUUCAGUGAAUCAUCGAAUCUUUGAACGCAUAUUGCGCCCCUUGGUAUUCCGAGGGGCAUGCCUUUUCGAGCGUCAUUACAACCGUCAAGCUCUGCUUGGUAUUGGGCCUCUGUCCCCACGCGGGCGGGCCUCAAAGUUAUCAGCGGCUGAGAGAACGGCGUUCUAGCGUAGUAGAAAUUAACUCGCCAGGCACCGGCCUCAGGCAGCUGUCAAACCCGCGCCUUUGCGCGCACAUCUUAGGUUGACCUCGGAUAAGGUAGGGAUACCCGCUGAACUUAAGCAUAUCAAUAAGCGGAGGCU